GGGUUGUGAGGUUAAGCGACUAAGCGUACACGGUGGAUGCCCUGGCAGUCAGAGGCGAUGAAGGACGUGCUAAUCUGCGAUAAGCGUCGGUAAGGUGAUAUGAACCGUUAUAACCGGCGAUUUCCGAAUGGGGAAACCCAGUGUGUUUCGACACACUAUCAUUAACUGAAUCCAUAGGUUAAUGAGGCGAACCGGGGGAACUGAAACAUCUAAGUACCCCGAGGAAAAGAAAUCAACCGAGAUUCCCCCAGUAGCGGCGAGCGAACGGGGAGGAGCCCAGAGCCUGAAUCAGUGUGUGUGUUAGUGGAAGCGUCUGGAAAGGCGCGCGAUACAGGGUGACAGCCCCGUACACAAAAAUGCACAUGCUGUGAGCUCGAUGAGUAGGGCGGGACACGUGGUAUCCUGUCUGAAUAUGGGGGGACCAUCCUCCAAGGCUAAAUACUCCUGACUGACCGAUAGUGAACCAGUACCGUGAGGGAAAGGCGAAAAGAACCCCGGCGAGGGGAGUGAAAAAGAACCUGAAACCGUGUACGUACAAGCAGUGGGAGCCUCUUUUAUGGGGUGACUGCGUACCUUUUGUAUAAUGGGUCAGCGACUUAUAUUCUGUAGCAAGGUUAACCGAAUAGGGGAGCCGAAGGGAAACCGAGUCUUAACUGGGCGUUAAGUUGCAGGGUAUAGACCCGAAACCCGGUGAUCUAGCCAUGGGCAGGUUGAAGGUUGGGUAACACUAACUGGAGGACCGAACCGACUAAUGUUGAAAAAUUAGCGGAUGACUUGUGGCUGGGGGUGAAAGGCCAAUCAAACCGGGAGAUAGCUGGUUCUCCCCGAAAGCUAUUUAGGUAGCGCCUCGUGAAUUCAUCUCCGGGGGUAGAGCACUGUUUCGGCAAGGGGGUCAUCCCGACUUACCAACCCGAUGCAAACUGCGAAUACCGGAGAAUGUUAUCACGGGAGACACACGGCGGGUGCUAACGUCCGUCGUGAAGAGGGAAACAACCCAGACCGCCAGCUAAGGUCCCAAAGUCAUGGUUAAGUGGGAAACGAUGUGGGAAGGCCCAGACAGCCAGGAUGUUGGCUUAGAAGCAGCCAUCAUUUAAAGAAAGCGUAAUAGCUCACUGGUCGAGUCGGCCUGCGCGGAAGAUGUAACGGGGCUAAACCAUGCACCGAAGCUGCGGCAGCGACGCUUAUGCGUUGUUGGGUAGGGGAGCGUUCUGUAAGCCUGUGAAGGUGUGCUGUGAGGCAUGCUGGAGGUAUCAGAAGUGCGAAUGCUGACAUAAGUAACGAUAAAGCGGGUGAAAAGCCCGCUCGCCGGAAGACCAAGGGUUCCUGUCCAACGUUAAUCGGGGCAGGGUGAGUCGACCCCUAAGGCGAGGCCGAAAGGCGUAGUCGAUGGGAAACAGGUUAAUAUUCCUGUACUUGGUGUUACUGCGAAGGGGGGACGGAGAAGGCUAUGUUGGCCGGGCGACGGUUGUCCCGGUUUAAGCGUGUAGGCUGGUUUUCCAGGCAAAUCCGGAAAAUCAAGGCUGAGGCGUGAUGACGAGGCACUACGGUGCUGAAGCAACAAAUGCCCUGCUUCCAGGAAAAGCCUCUAAGCAUCAGGUAACAUCAAAUCGUACCCCAAACCGACACAGGUGGUCAGGUAGAGAAUACCAAGGCGCUUGAGAGAACUCGGGUGAAGGAACUAGGCAAAAUGGUGCCGUAACUUCGGGAGAAGGCACGCUGAUAUGUAGGUGAAGCGACUUGCUCGUGGAGCUGAAAUCAGUCGAAGAUACCAGCUGGCUGCAACUGUUUAUUAAAAACACAGCACUGUGCAAACACGAAAGUGGACGUAUACGGUGUGACGCCUGCCCGGUGCCGGAAGGUUAAUUGAUGGGGUCAGCGCAAGCGAAGCUCUUGAUCGAAGCCCCGGUAAACGGCGGCCGUAACUAUAACGGUCCUAAGGUAGCGAAAUUCCUUGUCGGGUAAGUUCCGACCUGCACGAAUGGCGUAAUGAUGGCCAGGCUGUCUCCACCCGAGACUCAGUGAAAUUGAACUCGCUGUGAAGAUGCAGUGUACCCGCGGCAAGACGGAAAGACCCCGUGAACCUUUACUAUAGCUUGACACUGAACAUUGAGCCUUGAUGUGUAGGAUAGGUGGGAGGCUUUGAAGUGUGGACGCCAGUCUGCAUGGAGCCGACCUUGAAAUACCACCCUUUAAUGUUUGAUGUUCUAACGUUGACCCGUAAUCCGGGUUGCGGACAGUGUCUGGUGGGUAGUUUGACUGGGGCGGUCUCCUCCUAAAGAGUAACGGAGGAGCACGAAGGUUGGCUAAUCCUGGUCGGACAUCAGGAGGUUAGUGCAAUGGCAUAAGCCAGCUUGACUGCGAGCGUGACGGCGCGAGCAGGUGCGAAAGCAGGUCAUAGUGAUCCGGUGGUUCUGAAUGGAAGGGCCAUCGCUCAACGGAUAAAAGGUACUCCGGGGAUAACAGGCUGAUACCGCCCAAGAGUUCAUAUCGACGGCGGUGUUUGGCACCUCGAUGUCGGCUCAUCACAUCCUGGGGCUGAAGUAGGUCCCAAGGGUAUGGCUGUUCGCCAUUUAAAGUGGUACGCGAGCUGGGUUUAGAACGUCGUGAGACAGUUCGGUCCCUAUCUGCCGUGGGCGCUGGAGAACUGAGGGGGGCUGCUCCUAGUACGAGAGGACCGGAGUGGACGCAUCACUGGUGUUCGGGUUGUCAUGCCAAUGGCACUGCCCGGUAGCUAAAUGCGGAAGAGAUAAGUGCUGAAAGCAUCUAAGCACGAAACUUGCCCCGAGAUGAGUUCUCCCUGACUCCUUGAGAGUCCUGAAGGAACGUUGAAGACGACGACGUUGAUAGGCCGGGUGUGUAAGCGCAGCGAUGCGUUGAGCUAACCGGUACUA
rnacentral:rRNA from 1 species